AAAUUGAAGAGUUUGAUCAUGGCUCAGAUUGAACGCUGGCGGCAGGCCUAACACAUGCAAGUCGAGCGGAAACGGCAACAUUGAUUCUUCGGAUGAUUUGUUGGACGUCGAGCGGCGGACGGGUGAGUAAUGCUUAGGAAUUUGCCCAGUCGAGGGGGAUAACUAUUGGAAACGAUAGCUAAUACCGCAUACGCCCUACGGGGGAAAAGAGGGGACCUUCGGGCCUUCUGCGAUUGGAUAAGCCUAAGUGAGAUUAGCUAGUUGGUGAGGUAAUGGCUCACCAAGGCGACGAUCUCUAGCUGGUCUGAGAGGAUGAUCAGCCACACUGGAACUGAGACACGGUCCAGACUCCUACGGGAGGCAGCAGUGGGGAAUAUUGCACAAUGGGCGCAAGCCUGAUGCAGCCAUGCCGCGUGUGUGAAGAAGGCCUUCGGGUUGUAAAGCACUUUCAGCAGUGAGGAAGGUAGUAAUGUUAAUAGCAUUAUUAUUUGACGUUAGCUGCAGAAGAAGCACCGGCUAACUCCGUGCCAGCAGCCGCGGUAAUACGGAGGGUGCGAGCGUUAAUCGGAAUUACUGGGCGUAAAGCGCAUGCAGGUGGUUUGUUAAGUCAGAUGUGAAAGCCCUGGGCUCAACCCGGGAAGGUCAUUUGAAACUGGCAAGCUAGAGUACUGUAGAGGGGGGUAGAAUUUCAGGUGUAGCGGUGAAAUGCGUAGAGAUCUGAAGGAAUACCGGUGGCGAAGGCGGCCCCCUGGACAGAUACUGACACUCAGAUGCGAAAGCGUGGGGAGCAAACAGGAUUAGAUACCCUGGUAGUCCACGCCGUAAACGAUGUCUACUUGGAGGUUGUUCCCUUGAGGAGUGGCUUUCGGAGCUAACGCGUUAAGUAGACCGCCUGGGGAGUACGGUCGCAAGAUUAAAACUCAAAUGAAUUGACGGGGGCCCGCACAAGCGGUGGAGCAUGUGGUUUAAUUCGAUGCAACGCGAAGAACCUUACCUACUCUUGACAUCCAGAGAACCUUAGCAGAGAUGCUUUGGUGCCUUCGGGAACUCUGAGACAGGUGCUGCAUGGCUGUCGUCAGCUCGUGUUGUGAAAUGUUGGGUUAAGUCCCGCAACGAGCGCAACCCUUAUCCUUGAUUGCCAGCACUUCGGGUGGGAACUUCAGGGAGACUGCCGGUGAUAAACCGGAGGAAGGUGGGGACGACGUCAAGUCAUCAUGGCCCUUACGAGUAGGGCUACACACGUGCUACAAUGGCGUAUACAGAGGGCGGCGAACUCGCGAGAGUAAGCGAAUCCCAAAAAGUGCGUCGUAGUCCGGAUUGGAGUCUGCAACUCGACUCCAUGAAGUCGGAAUCGCUAGUAAUCGUGGAUCAGAAUGCCACGGUGAAUACGUUCCCGGGCCUUGUACACACCGCCCGUCACACCAUGGGAGUGGGCUGCAAAAGAAGUAGGUAGUUUAACCUUCGGGGGGACGCUUACCACUUUGUGGUUCAUGACUGGGGUGAAGUCGUAACAAGGUAGCCCUAGGGGAACCUGGGGCUGGAUCACCUCCUUA
rnacentral:rRNA from 1 species